GAUGAACGCUGGCGGCGUGCCUAAUACAUGCAAGUCGAGCGAACAGAUCAGGAGCUUGCUCCCCCGACUUCAUCGGCGGACGGGAGAUUAACAUGUGGACAACCUAACUAUAAGACUGGGAUAAUAUUGCGAAAUCGGGUCUAAUGACGGAUAAUUUAUUGCACUUGGUUGGGCACUCGUUAAAUUAGGUUUUUGUUUGAGUUAUAGCCUGCCCCGGGCCGCAUCAGUUGGUUGGCAAGGUAACGGCUUACCAAGGCUACGACGGUGACACGACCCAAAGGGGAGGUCGCCCACACGGGAGCUGAGAAGCGGUCCCGACACCUGCGGGAGGCAGCAGUAGGGAAUCUUCCGCAAUGGGGGAGAGCCUGACGGAGCAACGCGGCGUGAGGGAUGAAGGUCUUCGGAUCGUAAAACUCUGUUAUUAGUAGAGAACAAAUGUGUAAGUAACUAUGCACGUCUUGACGGUACCUAAUCAGAAAGCCACGGCUAACUACGUG
rnacentral:rRNA from 1 species